AGCACUGUGUGGUAUCUGCAGCCAGUUUGUCAGCUGGUUUGUUCAAACUUCAGUGCUAGAAAAAGUCAACAUCUGGCAUCGUUGGUCUCCAUACCACUUGUGUUUGGAGUCCUGGUAUGUGUGUUGAAACAUGC
rnacentral:snoRNA from 1 species